rnacentral:rRNA from 1 species
UACGUAGGUGGCAAGCGUUGUCCGGAUUUACUGGGCGUAAAGAGCGCGCAGGCGGUCGGCCAAGUCGAGUGUGAAAGCCCCCGGCUCAACUGGGGAGGGUCAUUCGAUACUGAUCGACUCGAAGGCAGGAGAGGGUAGUGGAAUUCCCGGUGUAGUGGUGAAAUGCGUAGAUAUCGGGAGGAACACCAGUGGCGAAGGCGACUACCUGGCCUGUUCUUGACGCUGAGGCGCGAAAGCUAGGGGAGCAAACGGG